CCGAGUUUACAACUCCCAAACCCCUGUGAACAUACCAUUAUCGUUGCUUCGGCGGACCACCCCGGCCCCUACGGGGCGAAGGGCCCGCCAGAGGACACCUAAAAUUCAAAUGUAUUUUUGCCCUGAAACUUUUAUUCUGAGUGGAAUUUUUAAAUAAAUCA
rnacentral:misc_RNA from 1 species